UGACAUGGUUAUCGUAAGUAUGUGGAACAAUUUUAGGACUUGCAUGGAUUUGGUAUGCCGACUGGUAGCAGAUAGAAGAUGGGUGUUGCACCGAGGUUUCGGAUUUCGCUUUGCAAAAUUUACCGGUGCUGGGCGAAAUGGGCGAAAUUCGGUUUUUCGUAUUUUCGGACGAAAAUGACUAAUCAAAAUUUAAAUUUUGAACAAAUCUUAACAAAAAUUUGUCCAAAUAAAAAAAACAGUGCAAAAAAUCAUACGAUCCAUGCAUCAAAACAUUAUAGACUGGACUUGAACAUUACAUUAACAAUUCAUGAGCCAGCCAAAGAAGAACCCCUUGUCACGGCCGCAGCUUUACCCUCCAUGGGAAAAAAGAACGGGGAGUAGAGCAUGAGGAAGUGCAGCGCUGGAGAAGAAGGAGGUGAAUCGCUAAAGGAGGUUGAGCGCUGGACGAGCAGGGAUGCAGCCACCGCAAAGACGAACGGGAGUGGAGAAAAGAACUGAAGUUAGGGUUAAGGAUGCUCGGUUGCAGCAUUUAUACGACUGGGGGAUACAUGCGAGCCUUUUUGGACCAUGGGCCGGUCGGAAAAUUCCAAUGACCGGUUUGUACUAUUACCGGGCCCAAACGAGAUUGGAAAAUUUCGGACGAAACUGGUUUUUUCAGACGAAAUCCAAAUCUCCGUGCUGCACCAAGCUAUGUCUAGGCAAUGAGUGGCAUGCAUGUGUAUUGCAUUUGGGCGCAUUUUCCAGCUACCCCUUUGCAUCAUGGGAUACAGUUACAUAGGCGGCAUGUGUCUAGAACCUACGAAUCACCAGUAGCAUCCCUGUGUCGACAGACAACACCAGGUAGGAACUCAGGCAUCCGGAAGGACAUAUGCAUACUGUCAAUGCUUGUUGGAUGCUAGUCCUACUAGGUAGUAUAGCAAAUUCCUUGCAUAUCUUCAGAACAUUCAAGAGCUCUUUAGUCCUGCAAAAGAACAAGCUUUUAUGUUUCCCCCUUACACAAAAUAUUCAUAUUUCUCACUUUGUACCUCAUCUAGCUCACAGGUCACUAGAUACCUCGUCUUGUUGUUUUUUUGGUUGAGAAACAAAUACUGCAAUUUAUGUCUUAUAUUUUCUUUCAACUUGACACACAUGAUACAUUGACUAUUUUUUACUUCCAUCCAUUUUGCAUUAAGUGGCCUUUUUUUUACCAACCUAUAGAACCAAACCAUGAAACUGAUUUGAUCUUUAUUGUGACGGAAUGUGUGUAUUAUGAAAAUUAAGAAAGGGAAAGAAUAUAUGGGCCAGGAUCUUUAUCAUCCAUUAUCGUGGUUUCGUUUCUUUUCCCGUUUGAUAUUUCAUACAUGAUGUUAUGUUAUCCUGAAUGUUGUUGGUUGCUAGAUUGUGCUGCAUUGGUGUUGCAUCGGCGUCACAGUAAAAAUACCAUUAUUUGAAGCUUUUUUAGGGUUUAUUUGAAGUCGACAUGCGUGGUUCACUUUACUUUAUGUACAGUUUUAUGUAUGGAUGAAAACCCAUGCUUAAAUCCAUACUUUUAAUUUUUUAGUCAGUCUUACAGUUUGUACAUCUGCAGGCAAAUCCAUGCUGGUCCUCAGGAGCAUGGGUUGAGGCAAUAUGGUGGCUUCCUUUGAUGAUGGUGGUGGGGGUGGUUGGAUAUGCGUCCAGGAAGGCGUGGAAAUGGCCCCUCAUUGAUUUCUGUUGAGCGCUGGGCAGUGGUGGCUGCAAAGUAGCAUUGGGUGGUCUCGAACACUUGUUUGUAGAAUGAAGUUUCUUGUGUUUUGCUCCUCCACAUGCGUAUCGUGUGGAAAUGUCUGUAAUUUUACUUUUGUGGUCUUUUUUUAUUUUGCAUGUAAUGUUAUUUUCUCAAGACUUCCUUUUAUUUUAUUUUGCAUGUAAUGUUAUUUUCUCAAGACUUCCUUGUAUUUUUGAAAAAUGUUUAUUGGCUUAAAAUAGAAAAAGCAUGGACCAGAGAAAUGCGAGAUGGGCUAAUCUUUAGGGCUGAAAUUAUGUGGCCUUGCACCAAUCUGAAAUGUAAUGGCCUAAAAUUCCAAUUGGGCCGACUACUACAUGGGUUGUAGGUCUUGCAUUGAGAUGAACAAUAAUGGGCUGAAAUUUUAAUUGGGUUGCUUACUUCAUGGGCCGCCACGUCAGAUCCACGUCAAACGAUGACGUGGUAGAUGAGUUAACGCCAUUAUGAGCAUGUGAGUUAAGUGCAAGUCAUGACGGUCAAGAAACUGUCACAGAUCCUAGUUCUUCCAAUUGGUUCUAAGGGCUGAAUAAACUAAGGUGGAGAUUUUCUGAAGUACUUACACAGCCGCCUACAAUAAGAUGGAGUAUCAGCUCUAGCUUGGCAUUGUCAAGCCGACCAAUGGUCGUGUAAAAAACCUUCUAAAGCCCUGUUAUGUACUAUAAAUUCAACUAGCACAUAUGACCUAUAUGCCAGAAACAUUAUACCAUGUGAAACCUCUUCCGAAUACAAAUACAACAGUAUAGUGUUUAUAUCAUACACAUAGUAUUUCUUAGUCACAUAGAUGGUCAACGUAUGAUCCAAAAUAUGAAGAGGCCCAGUAAACCUAGAUGGAGGUUGUAAUGUAUACUAACAAUUUUGAUUUUUUUAUAAGAUAACUUUGCAAGGUCAUGCUUUUCGGACAUAGAGUUUGCCAAGGGUGGGACAUGAACUUUUUUCUUCUCUAUGAUUAGGCGAGUUAUCACACCACAAGAACAAAGAAAAUAGUACUACAAUGCACUUUUUUAUUCUCUUUGAUUAGGCGAGUUAUCAUAUCACAAUAAUAGGAAAAAUAGUACUAUAAAGCACUGCCAGCUUAAAUCUAGCAGAUCUGUGCACACGUUUGACUGAUCGUAUGAUAAUGAGAGUUUGAUCCAAUAUGAAAUUUCUCGAAUGAAAUGAAGUACUCCUUCUGUAAACUAAUAUAAGAGUGUUUAGAUGAUUACUUUAGUGAUCUAAACACUCUUAUAUUAGUUUACGGAGGGACUACAACAUAAAUCUUCAAUUCACGUAACGGUCAGAGAAACUGCAAACUUAUUUUACGAGAAAGAUACAUAUGAUUAAUAGAUAUCCAUUGUAAAUCUUUGAGAAGACAAAUUAGAUAACUUUGCAAAGCUCGACCUCAUGCCUUUUAGACAUAGGGAGAUUCCUAAUUCAUGAUAACAGGAAAAAUAACAUAGCACUACACGAAAAUCCAUUUCUCAUUAAAUUUUCAUUGCUACUUUAAAUCCAACAGAUCUUUGUGGCCGUGUUUGAAUGAUAGUAAUAUGGAAAUGAAAUAAAAUAUUCCAUGAAGUUGGUUCUGAUGAAAUUUCUCAUAUGAAGUGAGGCGCAAAGGAGAUCUUUGGAAUCACAUAAGAUAGAUUGCAAAUUCUACAAACCAGACAUUUUUAUUUUUGAGAAACAAACCAGACAUUCCACAGACAUGAUAAAUCAUAAGGAUUACAAAACUUGGACUAAAAGCAAUAUCAUAAGGAUUUAGUCAUUUAGUUGUACAUUUAUAAUUUUGUCCACGGCAGCAAGAUAUAUAAAAUUAUGGAUUGUAUUCCUGCCGAGGAAAUAUCAUGUGAAUCGGCCAAGCUAUGCUAUAUAUAGGUGAAGACAAAAUAGAAUAGUCCAUCUAGCAGAAUUUCGAGGCACACUCAAUAGCAGACUAUUAUAGCCAUAAAUAUUGUCCUCGUGGGGGGUGCACUUUUCGUUUCGAUCACAGUACUCUCUUCAGUGGGCGCCGAGCGUCAACCACCGGUGGAAAAUGCUUCCCUUGCCAAUGUCCUUGUGGUCCUGCAGUAGGGUAAGGGUGCCCUCUGUGAGGCUGACCUGGAAAACAUGGCAGCAGGUAGGAGGACCUCAGGUGUAA
rnacentral:lncRNA from 1 species